AUGUGUACCUUCCACGAUUUGUUUUCUUUUUAAGAAAAAAACUCCAUACAAAGUCUGAAUUCGGGAGUCGUCAAGUUUUAAGAAAAGUAAUAAAGGGCUUAAUUCACAUCUCGAAAAUCACUGGAAGGGAGUGAGUACCAAUUAAUCAGACAAUUGCCAGACAGACUUGAAUGUUAAUUGGUGUUAAGUUGUCUGUAUAGUUAAAAUGUCUGUCUUUUUUUAUUGACCCAAUAAACUGAUAGACCAAAUGAAUAUAUAGUGUACAUGUGAUUUUCAGCACCCUGGUGUUUUCGAAAAUUGAUUCAAUGUGCAAUGAACAAAAAAAAUGAGUAAAACUCUUAAUAAUGUAAUUGGUUGAUGUAAUCGAAAUUGGACAGUAUUGGUUAACUGAAAAGUAACCAAUCAAAUUUAAUUGAUCAUCCACGUGUAUCUCAUAAUCGACUUAUUGAUAUAAUGGUUCUCCAAGUUAUCUAUACUUUUUGUCUGCGAUAUCACUUCGGUGGAAGCGGGCGUAAAAUACAACUAACUAAGAAGAAGUAUCUAUACUUUAGUCAUUGCGACAAAUUCUUUCUUUGAUAUUAUAUCAGCGACAUUCAGUUAGAUGUAGUGACGUUAGCAUCAACAGAGUGCUUUAGCCGUGAUAUUUUUAAAAAAAAAAUUAUAAUGGUCACAUAGAAUACCAGACCGCAGGUUUGUAAAUUUUUACAAAAAAUAAAACCGUGUAUUUAAUUUAGCAUGUAUAUAUUGCUUCUAUGUAUAUAAUAAUUCGUUUCGUUUAAAACAGUCAGAUUUAGAACCACUGCCACUGACUGCACCGAAAUUCUAUUUAUAUAAUGGCGCCACAAAGAAAUUUUUUUUGAUGUGUUCUAAAAGUGUUCCGCUAAUUCAGCAAUCUAAUGAAUCUGUCUUAAUUUUUCUGAAAUCGUGCUUAAUUAUUAUUAGCUAAUCGGCGCUACACCGUUGUUCAAAUACUUAUAAUUGCAAGAAACCCCCGACUAGGACCAGCAGGUAAGAAUCUGUCUUGAUUUUAUAGUAAUGCCCGGUUGCAAUUAUUGGCCGCCAUCUUUGAUUUUUAUAGACGUUCGGGCCAAAAAAAAGGAGAAAUGUAUAUCCAGACAUGGACUAUAGCUAGAUACUAACUUUUGUGUUAGUUGUUUAUUUGAAAUGUAAUCUUAAUAUUUCUGUAAAAGAAAAAAACAACAACAAACAAAUCAGCCUUUUUUUUAUAUCAAUGUCAUCAAUGUGUAGGCCUAAUAAUUAGACUUUCAAUGAUUCAGAAGUUUCUCUACAGUUUCGUUAUUUUUUUUCCAGUCAUUGAUGUUAGCAUAUGUACUACACAAAGAAAAACAGUUUCCAUAUUAGAUGCCAUAGCAAAUCAAAGAUCAUAUAAUAAAAUAAGUCAAAAAACCCAAAUAUGGGAAAAAAAAGAGCUGAAGAAAUGGUGAUUUGAGCACCUAUGAUUUCUCAUAGUUGUUUUUUGAGGAAAGAUCAAGACAGUUGAAAAUGGCUAUUCAUAUUAUGGAAACUUUUUCUCACAGAGCUUGAUAAUCAGGUAAAAUGUAAGUAACAUACAUAUUUGUAUUUUUAAUCAUCAACUAGUUCUAUACACUUGCUUGGUAAUCUAGUUAUUCUUCUUGGGGCAAUGCCUAGGACUCAGCUAUUUCAAGUACUUGGCAUGCUUGAUUUUUGCCAAUCACAUCCAUUACAGUAAAUAGCAGUAAAAUAAUGAUGGACAAUAUUUUACUUUUCAAAUAGAUUUCAAUAGAUUUUAAAGGGUAAUAUCCAAUUUGUUGUCAAUGGAAAUAAAAUAAGAAUGGGUCCAAAAAUAAUUAGACAUUGCCAAGUAAAUAGGUGCUGCCAAUGAUAUAGUAGGGAAUCUGGAUUUGCAGACAAUACAUGUAUGAACCGGGUGAAUAGUUGACCUAUUAUGAGACUUCAGUCCCAAAUCUCAAGACUUUUUUCUGACUUGGCCUGACAAUGACAGCUGUCUAGUCCUUCCGAUGAGACGAAUAUUGGAAUGCACGUAAAAGAUCCCCUGGCAGUUGGAAUUCGAUAUAAGAAUAGAUGAUAGUGCCGCUGCCCGGGCAAAAAUUCCCUCAUAGCACACUGUGUGGCAUAUGCCCGUCAUUAUUAGCCCAGUAUAGGAGCAGAACAGUAGGACGUUAAACCCCAUUUCAUUUCAUUUUUCUGACUUUUAACCCAUUUGAUUUGAGCAUAAUAAUCUGCCUGGGUCUUUAAGUGGACAAGACACAAUAAGCGUUACGCAAAGUUGAAACCAAAUAGAGACUCAGUCUCGA